UCCAGCGCGAUUGCACGUAGAAAAUACAUCAGUUCCCAUGGAUCACUGAAGUUAAGCAACUUUGCGCAUGGUUAGUAUCCGGAUGAGUGACCAUUUGGGUAAUUGCGUGUUGCUGACU
rnacentral:rRNA from 1 species